rnacentral:rRNA from 1 species
GGGUGAAAUCUUAUAAUCCUUGUAGGACCACCAGUGGCGAAAGCGUCAGACUGGAACGCGCCUGACGGUGAGGGGCGAAAGCCAGGGGAGCGAACCGGAUUAGAUACCCGGGUAGUCCUGGCCGUAAACGAUGCAUACUAGGCAAUGGUGCGGCUAUGAGCCGCAUCAGUACCGUAGGGAAACCGUUAAGUGUGCCGCCUGGGAAGUACGGUCGCAAGGCUAAAACUUAAGGGAAUUGGCGGGGGAGCACCACAAGGGGUGAAGCCUGCGGUUCAAUUGGACUCAACGCCGGGAAACUUACCAGGGGAGACAGCAGAAUGACAGUCAGGUUGACGACCUUACUCGACGAGCUGAGAGGAGGUGCAUGGCCGUCGCCAGUUCGUGCUGUGAGGUAUCCUGUUAAGUCAGGCAACGAACGAGAUCCGCGCCUUUAUUUGCCAUCAAGAAGUCACGACUUUCGUUGGGAACAAUAAAGGGACCGCCGUCGAUAAGACGGAGGAAGGAGCGCGCAAAGGCAGGUCAGUAUGCCCGGAAACCCAUGGGUACAGCGGGCUGCAAUGGUGCGAACAAUGGGCUGUAAAUCCGAAAGGAGAAACCAAUCC